AAGAGCUGUUUACUAGCUUGCCAUCUCUCUCACAUAAUCUGUAUUGAUUAUUUAUGGUCAACAUUUAUGUGGCUAAUGCUUUCAUCUUUCCCUUUAUAACUAUUUAAACAUGCACUACUUUUUAGUAAAUUUUUACUUAUGUUAUAGUUUGAAUUGUGGCACUUCAGCAUUCUUGAGAAAUACAGAACUAAAGUAAAUGCAUGACUCUUUGUAGGAACGUCAGUAAAAACUUCUUAGUUCUUUCUUUCUUGUUCUGCUGACUUUUGCUUGGGAGACAGGGUCUUAACAUGUACUACAGGCUUUCCUAGACCUGAUUGCAUAGACUAGGCUGGGAUUUAACUCAGACACAGAUAUACCUGCCUCUGUCUUCUGAGUCCUGCUGUUAAAGGCAUGAGCCAAUACACCCAGAUUGUCCAUCUUAUUUUUCUUUAUAUUUAGUAAUUGUUGAUACAAUUUCUAUUGUGUGUACUCUGUACUGUUGAUCUGUUUACUUCUCUCUCUAUAUUUGUUAAUGAGCAUUUCUCUUGCAAGGUGAUAUCCCAUUCAAAGGGUACAGAAAUGACAGAAGUGAUCCUCCUAUUCAGCUUCCUUCAAAAGGGACUUGUUGAUUACAUAUAAUUUGUAUGUCAUGAAGUAAGUGUGGGGAGCAUCAGAAUUAUAUGACUAUACUCUCAAAGAAGUAUACAUUUACAAUGUUGUAAGUAUUAUGGUUUCUCUUGUACACGUGUAUGGGAUAUUUUAGAAUGCAGUGACCUAUGAUGAUGUGCAUGUCGACUUCACUUGGGAAGAGUGGACUUUACUGGAUCCUUCCCAGAAGAAUCUCUACAAAGAUGUGAUGCUGGAAACCUACAGGAACCUCACUAUUAUAGGAUACAAUUGGGAAGACCAUAAUACUGAAGAGCAUCUUCAAAGUUCUAGAGGAGAUGAAAGUCAUGAACAAAAUCAAACUGGAAAGAAACAUACUAUAUACACUCAAUGUGUUAAAGAUCUUUCAUAUCCCAGUACUCUUCAAAUGUAUGAAAAAGAACAUACUGGAGAGAAACCCUAUGAAUAUAAUCAAUGUGGUAAAGCUUUUGAAUUUCAAAACUAUCUUCAAGAACAUAAAAGAAAGCAUACUGGAGAGAAACCC